UUCCGGUUGAUCCCGCCGGACCUGACUGCUAUCGGAUUGAUACUAAGCCAUGCGAGUCAUUGUAGCAAUACAAGGCAGACGGCUCAGUAACGCGUAGUCAACCUAACCUAUGGACGGGAAUAACCUCGGGAAACUGAGAAUAAUGCCCGAUAGAACACUAUACCUGGAAUGGGUUGUGUUCCAAAUGAUUUAUCGCCGUAGGAUGGGACUGCGGCCUAUCAGUUUGUUGGUGAGGUAAUGGCCCACCAAGACUAUUACAGGUACGGGCUCUGAGAGGAGUAGCCCGGAGAUGGGUACUGAGACACGGACCCAGGCCCUAUGGGGCGCAGCAGGCGAGAAAACUUUGCAAUGUGCGAAAGCACGACAAGGUUAAUCCGAGUGAUUUGUGCUAAACGAAUCUUUUGUUAGUCCUAGAACCACUAACGAAUAAGGGGUGGGCAAGUUCUGGUGUCAGCCGCCGCGGUAAAACCAGCACCUCAAGUGGUCAGGAUGAUUAUUGGGCCUAAAGCAUCCGUAGCCGGCUCUGUAAGUUUUCGGUUAAAUCUGUACGCUUAACGUACAGGCUGCCGGGAAUACUGCAGAACUAGGGAGUGAGAGAGGUAGACGGCACUCGGUAGGAAGGUGUAAAAUCCUUUGAUCUAUUGAUGACC
rnacentral:rRNA from 1 species